rnacentral:rRNA from 1 species
UGAACGCUGGCGGCGUGCCUAAUACAUGCAAGUCGAGCGAACGGACGAGAAGCUUGCUUUUCUGAUGUUAGCGGCGGACGGGUGAGUAACACGUGGAUAACCUACCUAUAAGACUGGGAUAACUUCGGGAAACCGGAGCUAAUACCGGAUAAUAUUUUGAACCGCAUGGUUCAAAAGUGAAAGACGGUCUUGCUGUCACUUAUAGAUGGAUCCGCGCUGCAUUAGCUAGUUGGUAAGGUAACGGCUUACCAAGGCAACGAUGCAUAGCCGACCUGAGAGGGUGAUCGGCCACACUGGAACUGAGACACGGUCCAGACUCCUACGGGAGGCAGCAGUAGGGAAUCUUCCGCAAUGGGCGAAAGCCUGACGGAGCAACGCCGCGUGAGUGAUGAAGGUCUUCGGAUCGUAAAACUCUGUUAUUAGGGAAGAACAUAUGUGUAAGUAACUGUGCACAUCUUGACGGUACCUAAUCAGAAAGCCACGGCUAGCUACGUG